rnacentral:lncRNA from 1 species
CCACGUCUCCCUCUUCUGGUAGGUGCAAGCAAUAAAAGGAAUAUCAUUUCAUUAAUAUCAUUCCAAUCAGUAAAGGAAUAGUUCUUCCCUUAGCUAGGUACGGCUCUUUCGAGCAAUCAAUCUGCUUAUCGCUUCAAAAUAAGUCACUUCCUGCUAAAAGUGGAGCUCUUCUUAGGGUGGACUACACGAGUCUUAUGAAAUAGAGCCGAGGUGCGGAGCAAAGGCUUUCUGGUCGAUAAGUCAACAGAUGUUCCCCUGGGGCAGACAGAAGAAGUUCCGAUUCCUUCUACCACCAUCACUUCCUGACUCACCUGCUCAAACGAGAGUUUAAGUUCCGGAACUAGUGCCUGCCCACUGCUUUUGCUGAAAGCUUGGUCUAAAAGUCUCAAUCUUUCUUAAGUUAAGAAGCCAGAGCAAGUGAAUGUAAAAGUUCGCCUAAUACUCGAAUUUUGUUCUCCUUCCACUUUGACUUCGACUAUUGCUACUUCCUCGACCCGACCCCGAGAUCUCGAAUUCUUUUAACAGACAGAGACUGCCUCCACUUCCCUUAAUUAGCUUGUUGAGGAACGGGCUUGACUAUAUAAGGCAGCCCCAGUUCCAGUAUUGGAGGAAGCACAUGGUAUGGAAAGCAUGGUAAGUAGGACAGCCAAUCUUUAAGAAAGUUAUCUCACCGGGGUCCGGUUAGUCGACCUAAGCUAAGCACUGUUCAAAAUGAGGGGAAAUGGCUUAUUAAACGAAAAAUGCUAAAGCGGCAGAUCGGGAAGAAGUUCCUUAUUCCGGGGAAGAAAGAAAUAUAGAAAUUUUAUGAUAUUCGUAGUUUUUACCUAUAAAAGGGCUGGCUUUUCGCUCGGUUGAUUACUGAAGAAGGCUCUUGUCUCGGUAAGUCUGUUCUGGGCACUCUGUCUUUCCACCUGAUACCUUUAUAUAUGGGUAUCCGGCUCUCGAUCGAAUGCGACUGCACCUAUCCCUGCUUUCUUCGGUGCUGGUACUGCCUCUUACUCUCGUGGGUAAACUCCUACUUGAUUAGUCAGAACUGAACUUCUCUGUCUCAACUCGUAGACCUAUCUAUCCUCUUCUUUUUAAGAGAUAGGGGCUACAUUUGCCGCGGAUUGCUCGUAUUUCUUUACCCCAAUUAAUGGUUUUUACUUUGUUAUAGCCCUUCCAUCUUCACCUUCCAGUACUAAUCUCUUCUUCUGGGGAAGACCCUUCAUCUUACCAGGGAGCCAGCCGUGCUCUUGCACAAGUGGUUACUUCUUUCGCGAGUGAAAAGCUCGUUUCUUCCUUGCUUUCAAAGUGAG